rnacentral:rRNA from 1 species
AUUGAACGCUGGCGGCAGGCUUAACACAUGCAAGUCGAGCGGAGAUGAGGUGCUUGCACCUUAUCUUAGCGGCGGACGGGUGAGUAAUGCUUAGGAAUCUGCCUAUUAGUGGGGGACAACAUUCCGAAAGGAAUGCUAAUACCGCAUACGUCCUACGGGAGAAAGCAGGGGAUCUUCGGACCUUGCGCUAAUAGAUGAGCCUGAGUCGGAUUAGCUAGUUGGUGGGGUAAAGGCCUACCAAGGCGACGAUCUGUAGCGGGUCUGAGAGGAUGAUCCGCCACACUGGGACUGGUACACGGCCCAGACUCCUACGGGAGGCAGCAGUGGGGAAUAUUGGACAAUGGGGGAAACCCUGAUCCAGCCAUGCCGCGUGUGUGAAGAAGGCCUUAUGGUUGUAAAGCACUUUAAGCGAGGAGGAGGCUACUGAGACUAAUACUCUUGGAUAGUGGACGUUACUCGCAGAAUAAGCACCGGCUAACUCUGUGCCAGCCGCCGCAGUAA